UAUGGAUUGAAGCAAUCCCUGAGGGCGUGGUUUGAGAAGUUCAGUAAGACCAUAGUUUAAUUUGGCUACAAAAAAAAGGUGUGCUUCUGAUCACACACAUUUCGUAAUAAAGGGUGCGAAAGUGAGCCGGAUCAUAGUAAAUGUUUAGAAUAUUGUGGUCACUGAUGAUGAUGUUGAUGAGAUUGCAAGAUUGAAGGCUUACCUGAGCCGCACCUUCGACAUAAACUUGGCAUGCUAAGGUACUUCUUGGACACAGAGAUUUUCGAGAUCUAUAAAAAGUAGAGUCAUCUCUCAAAUUAUGUCCUUGAUUUGAAGAAAACAGG
rnacentral:lncRNA from 1 species